CCAAAAGAGAAAGCCCCUGUGGGAAUCCUCUGCUUUUAACCCCUGUGUGUUUUCAGAGGCGUAUCCAGGUCCCCAGUGGCCACAACAUGUGAAAAUUUCAAAUCUGGCCACUGAUUGGUUUGACCACAACUUUUCCAGAAACUCAUUUCCUGGUCAAACCACUACACUUGGGCUAUAAAACUGAUCAGCACAAGACUUCACAAAAUAAGGAUUUUCUACAUUAGGUCUAUCGACCACUUGUGAAAAGUUUUUCUUUGCUCUGCCAUGAUCUCCUCCAUGAGCCUCAGGGGAACAGCCUGCUUCACUACCGCCUGCUCCACAGACUACAGGGGAGUGAAUUUCUGCUCCAGUGCAUGGACCACCUCCUCCCUCUCCUUCUCUGACCUUUCUCUCUGCCGGUUUAUUUCUCACAAUUGUGAUCUUUUAUUUAUCACAAUUUUAUUUCUAGUGAAAAAAUGUUUAAAACAGGGUAAAGGAAAACUAUUUAUAAUUGAGUACUAUCUCAAACAACAAAAAGUGGGGGGAUUUCUUUUUGUUUUGAAUUAAAAAUAUAUAUAUUUUCAUAUAUAUAUUUUCCUGGUUUGGUAGGAUCUUCACCAAAUUAUUUUAACUUAUACUAUUGUGUUUGUUUUAAUUAAUAAGUUACAGUAAAAUACUGUUCCAAUAUAUAAAAAAAUACAUCAAUGAAACAUUUGGAAACUCCAGAAUAGUAAAAGAAGAAAAUAUUAAAGUAGCAACAUCACCAUUCAAAAAAAUCAGCUAUAAAUAUUUGUGUUAUAUUUUUCUGUGUGAGUGUUUAUAAUUAUUUAAAGCCACGUUCUGAACAAAUAGGUGGUAAGCUUUAUUGGUGAAAAUCGUCAGAGGGCAAUACCCUUAGUAAAAAACAAAAAGAGUGAAAACCAAAUUCCAAACAAUCUGAUACCUGAAACAUACAGAGUUUAGGUAAGAUUAUGAGAUGCAUAAAUAAUUAAUUAACUCACAAAACAUUUGAUUCCAUGUUUUUAUCUGGGCUACCUACACUACAGAUAGCUUUGCCAACAGAGUUAACUUGCACCACACUUUCACUUGGGUAACUUUGGGGCCAGCCAGACUCUUGGUACAACUGAGGCUGGAUGCCCAACUUCUAUAGUUGUUUGCAACUGUAGGAAACCAUAAAAAACCCACUGAAUUUAGAGAACAUCACAUGGUUCCAGCUGCAUGUUCUUUCUCCCACUAUGAUACUAAGUGCCUGAAGUAACAGGUGUUGCCAUAAUGUAUCCUAAGUUCUUUGUGAAGCUUUUCUCUAAUUAUUAUAUUAUAAGGCACCAAGGUCUGCAAGACUGGAGACAUUUUCUCCAUUAUUGAUACAAUACAAAACAGAUAGGAAGAGAAACCAGAACAUGUUUGUCUCUUUUUUGAAACUGAAAAUCAGGUACUUAUGAUAUCUUCAGAUUCUGAAGAUGGAUCUUUCGUGAUAAUUUUGUCAUCUUCCUUUCAUUUUUUGAGUAUUCAUUGUUAUGUCCAAAAGCUGAUUGCACCUCUUCUUGCUCUUCUGUUACUUGGUGGAUUUUUAAGCUUUUCACACGUGCAAAAUAGAAUACAGUGAUAAAAAGCUGUUGCGUAUUUAAGGUAAGAGAAAAGUAUCGUUGAUGUGGACUGAUUAAAAGAAAUAAACUGUGAAAGCAUGAAAUAGAAAUUACAUACUGAACUAUUUCUAACACAGAUUAAAGGGGAAAACAUAGAUCCAAUGGUCAGGACUGUGCAAUAAAGGCACCCUCACUUACCACUAUUAAAAUAAACAUUCAUACAAAGGCUUAGUAAAAUAAAUUUUCUUCUUUUACUUGAGCAAAUGCUGGUUCACAUCCUAUAUAUCAAAUAACUUGCACUAUAUAUUUCAUUUUAGUCAAUGCAGCUAAUGAGAGAUUUAAUGAAAAUGAUUGGAUGAUUUUUCUUUUCAUAAACAUAUUUGGCAUUUAUAUUGCUACAACUGGGAUUUAUAUCUCAAUUUGUAAAAAAGUCCCAGCAGACAUGAGCCCUAAUUAUGUUAAAGUUCUACACAACAUUUUGAAAGAAACCCUUAGUUACAGUGAAAUUAUGCAUUGUCUACAUAGAGAAGGUAUGUAGAUCAGUAAUAUUUUUAACAUUAUGAGAUACAUAUUUCCUGUCUAAUCUGCCUAUGACCAAUUAAUUUGAUUUAAUACACCAUAAUAAGGGCCUAUUGUAUAUUUGAAUAACCUAAUUUCUUACAAAGGAGAUGCAAAAGAACUUUUAAUAGAUUCACCUGAAAUUCUGGAAAAUUAUAAAUAUUUAAUAAGUAGUUCCAUAACUCAAAAUUUCCAGCUGAAUUGAAGAUCAUAUUUAAAGGCAUACUUACUCUGAUACUUCAGUGUUACAAUGUGCAUAGGCAAUAUUAAUAGAUUGCAAGGAUAAAAUAAUCUUAUUUUUUGUGAGUUAGUAGAAAGGUUUGGGAUUUUUUACCUGAAGGAUUAUUUAUGGAACUCCAAACAUAAAGAUAUAACUGGAAAGGAAGAAAACUGUUUUGUGUUUGCAUAUACAUAUCUGCACGUGUAUGUAUGUUACAUAUAAAUAUGCACGUAUGUAUCCAUAUGGUUGUAUCCAGGGAGUUUUUUUUUGUUUGUUUAUUUUCAUAAUGCUAUCUGACAAUAUUAAAGACAACUGUUUUAAGGUAUAAAAACCCCUUAUUUUGUGGAAAACUAACAUUUUGAAUAUAAAGAUAUCUGAUUUAUUCCUUUAUCUGCUUUUCUUCUCCAAAAGAGUAAUGAACUAAAGCUCUUUGGAGGCAAAACAGCUGAAGAAAGUAAUUUGUUAAAUUUGAUUUAUUUAUUUACAUUUUAAACAACACAGAUACUGUGUUUGGAGCACAUUAAAACUCUGAUAAAAAUGAAAAUAAAGAUGGCUUAUAUUUCUAGAUUUUGAAAGCUAUAAUUCAUGCUUUUAUACUACUUGAUAAAUGUUAUCCAGAAGAUGCUCAAUACUUUAAUAAAUUUAGUUGUCCUAAUAGUGUUCAUUUUUGAAGAAAUUUAGUCCAGGGAUUGAUUUGUUUAGUUUAUUUUCCUUAUGUGCAAUUAAUUUUUGAUACUUGCACGACUUUUUUUUUAUUUAUUGAAAGAAUGCACACUAUAAUUAUUUAA